rnacentral:lncRNA from 1 species
UAUCAAAACUGUGCCACAGGACAGGAAGGUGACCCCUUAACAGCAUCAGAAAGCACAAAUACAGCAGGGAGGGAGCACUUUAACUAAUGGAACUCCAAAUUUCCCCCAUAAUGUUGCAGCACAGACAUCCCUUAAAACAGGCUAUCACACUUGGACAGUCAGAACCAGAUUAUAGAACUCUUUAAGCAUGUGAUUGUGGGACUAAUGUGUGACUAUAAUUACUUCCUUUAUGUUUACCAGCUGGAUGGUUCCCCAACUCCAGAGUCACACAGAGCAAAGGUGAUAUAUUGUUUGCUACCUAUGGAUUGGGCAUCUAUUAGGAUCUGGAAAAUGGGAGGUGUCCAGUUCCCCUUUCUUACGGCCACUGCACCAAAACAUGGGACCUCACACACUGCUAGAUAAAAAUGUGGAAAUGAUAAAACUUACCGUGUGUAUACAAGCCUGCUGUCUCCCUUAAUUUCAAAGAAACUGUCCGAUUGCUAACACACAUGGAAAUCACCCUUUCAUAAUUUCUGUGAGUCUAAGGGUAGCUCCUCUAAAGUAUAUUGGAACCAGGGAAGCAACAACACCAAAUACAAAGUGAAUAUGAGUAUGUGUACAAAUUAUCUUGCUUUUCUAUGCAUUCAGAUGAGGCCUCGCAUUCUGUAUGUAAU